ACGCAGGGCAACUCGAUUGCUGUGCGUGCGGAAUCGACAUCAAGAGAUUUCGGAAGCAUAAUUUUUUGGUAAUUGGGCAGCUGGUGAUCGUUGGUCCCGGCGCCCUUG
rnacentral:snRNA from 1 species